rnacentral:rRNA from 1 species
AGCAGCCGCGGUAAUUCCAGCUCCAAUAGCGUAUAUUAAAGUUGUUGCAGUUAAAAAGCUCGUAGUUGAAUUUCGGGAUCAAUACGUCGGUCGUGCUUCGGUACGUACUGGCGUCAUUGAUUUCUCCCUUCUGACGAACCAUGAUGUCAUUAACUUGGUGUCAUGGGAAAUCAGGACUGUUACUUUAGAAAAAAUUAGAGUGUUUAAAGCAGGCUCACGCUUGAAUACAUUAGCAUGGAAUAAUGAAAUAGGACGUUCGAUCCUAUUUUGUUGGUUUCUAGGAUCAACGUAAUGAUUAAUAGGGAUAGUUGGGGGCAUUAGUAUUCAAUUGUCAGAGGUGAAAUUCUUGGAUUUAUUGAAGACUAACUACUGCGAAAGCAUUUGCCAAGGAUGUUUUCAUUAAUCAAGAACGAAAGUUAGGGGAUCGAAGACGAUCAGAUACCGUCGUAG